rnacentral:rRNA from 1 species
CCACCAGUUGCUUUUGUUUGAGCGAUGGAGGGACGCAGGAGGCUAAGGAAUGCACACGAUCGGAAAUGUGUGUCCAAGCAGCAAGUCUGAGAACGAGUGAAAUGCUUUUUCUCUCAAGGACAAGCUGUGAUGGGGAGCGAAAUUUAGUAGCGAAGUUCCUGAUGUCACACUGCCAAGAAAAGCUUCUAGUGAGAAAGUAACUGCCCGUACCGCAAACCGACACAGGUAGUUGAGGAGAGAAUCCUAAGGUGUGCGAGAGAACUCUCGUUAAGGAACUCGGCAAAAUGACCCCGUAACUUCGGGAGAAGGGGUGCUGACCGCAAGGUCAGCCGCAGUGAAUAGGCCCAAGCGACUGUUUAUCAAAAACACAGGUCUCUGCAAAAUCGAAAGAUGACGUAUAGGGGCUGACGCCUGCCCGGUGCUGGAAGGUUAAGAGGAGAGGUUAGCGCAAGCGAAGCUUUGAAUUGAAGCCCCAGUAAACGGCGGCCGUAACGAUAACGGUCCUAAGGUAGCGAAAUUCCUUGUCGGGUAAGUUCCGACCCGCACGAAAGGCGUAACGAUUUGGGCACUGUCUCAACGAGAGACUCGGUGAAAUUAUAGUACCAGUGAAGAUGCUGGUUACCCGCGACAGGACGGAAAGACCCCAUGGAGCUUUACUGCAGUUUGAUAUUGCGUGUUUGUAUCACAUGUACAGGAUAGGUAGGAGCCGAAGAUACCGGGACGCCAGUCUCGGAGGAGGCAACGGUGGGAUACUACCCUUGUGAUAUGACCACUCUAACCCGCUGCUCUUAGCGAGCAGGGAGACAGUGUCAGACGGGCAGUUUGACUGGGGCGGUCGCCUCCAAAAAUGUAACGGAGGCGCCCAAAGGUUCCCUCAGAAUGGUUGGAAAUCAUUCGUAGAGUGUAAAGGCAGAAGGGAGCUUGACUGCGAGACCUACAAGUCGAGCAGGGACGAAAGUCGGGCUUAGUGAUCCGGUGGUUCCGCAUGGAAGGGCCAUCGCUCAACGGAUAAAAGCUACCCUGGGGAUAACAGGCUUAUCUCCCCCAAGAGUUCACAUCGACGGGGAGGUUUGGCACCUCGAUGUCGGCUCAUCGCAUCCUGGGGCCGUAGUCGGUCCCAAGGGUUGGGCUGUUCGCCCAUUAAAGCGGUACGCGAGCUGGGUUCAGAACGUCGUGAGACAGUUCGGUCCCUAUCCGUCGCGGGCGUUGGAAAUUUGAGAGGAGCUGUCCUUAGUACGAGAGGACCGGGAUGGACACACCGCUGGUGUACCAGUUGUUCUGCCAAGAGCAUCGCUGGGUAGCUAUGUGUGGACGGGAUAAACGCUGAAAGCAUCUAAGCGUGAAGCCCCCCUCAAGAUGAGAUUUCCCAUCACUUUAAGUGAGUAAGACCCCUGAGAGAUGAUCAGGUAGAUAGGUUGGGAGUGGAAGUACAGCGAUGUAUGGAGCGGACCAAUAC